GGUCCAAAUCAAGGAGGAGACUCGCUUGGUGUCCAUCAUCGACCAGAUUGACAAGGCUGUGGCCAUCGUCCCUCGAGGUGCCCUCUUCAAGACCCCUUUUGGAGUCACCCACGUCAAUCGGACCUUUGAAGGCCUGCCCUUGUCUGAGAUCAAGAAGCUUAGCUCGUACUUCCACUUCAGGGAGGCCAUUGACCUGAAGAACAAGACCUUGCUUGAGAAGAACAUGGACCUGCCCUUCAUGCUGUAGGAGGGGCAGGCUGGAUAUUUAUGAGAAGUCGAAACACUGUUUCAUAAAGUUCAACCAUUGGGUCUGC
rnacentral:lncRNA from 1 species